CGAAGGUCCCAAGCGUUAUCCGGAUUUAUUGGGUUUAAAGGGUGCGUAGGCGGGCUAUUAAGUCAGUGGUGAAAGCCCCAAGCUUAACUUGGGAACUGCCAUUGAUACUGAUGGUCUUGAGUACAUUUGAGGUGGGCGGAAUGUGUCAUGUAGCGGUGAAAUGCUUAGAUAUGACACAGAACACCGAUUGCGAAGGCAGCUCACUAAACUGUAACUGACGCUGAGGCACGAAAGCGUGGGGAGCAAACAGGAUUAGAUACCCUGGUAGUCCACGCCCUAAACGAUGAUCACUCGAUGUGUGCGAUAUACUGUACGCGUCUGAGCGAAAGCAUUAAGUGAUCCACCUGGGAAGUACGUUCGCAAGAAUG
rnacentral:rRNA from 1 species